GCCUGAGUGGCUCAGUGGGUUGAGCGUCCGACUUCGGCUCAGGUCGUGAUCUCAUGGUCCGUGAGUUCGAGCCCCGCGUCGGGCU
rnacentral:tRNA from 1 species